rnacentral:rRNA from 1 species
UACGUAGGGUGCGAGCGUUACUCGGAAUCACUGGGCGUAAAGCGUGCGUAGGCGGUUCUUUAAGUCCGUUGUGAAAUCCCAAGGCUCAACCUUGGAACUGCCUUUGAUACUGGGGAUCUUGAGUCCGGGAGAGGUGAGUGGAACUGCGAGUGUAGAGGUGAAAUUCGUAGAUAUUCGCAAGAACACCAGUGGCGAAGGCGGCUCACUGGCCCGGUACUGACGCUGAGGUGCGAAAGCGUGGGGAGCAAACAGG